UACAGAGGGUGCGAGCGUUAAUCGGAAUUACUGGGCGUAAAGCGCACGUAGGCGGCUUGGUAUGUCGGGUGUGAAAUCCCCGGGCUCAACCUGGGAACUGCAUCCGAAACUGCCUUGCUAGAGUAUGGGAGAGGGUAGUGGAAUUCCCGGUGUAGUGGUGAAAUGCGUAGAUAUCGGGAGGAACACCAGUGGCGAAGGCGACUACCUGGCCUGUUCUUGACGCUGAGGCGCGAAAGCUAGGGGAGCAAACGGG
rnacentral:rRNA from 1 species